rnacentral:rRNA from 1 species
UACGGGGGGGGCAAGCGUUGUUCGGAAUUACUGGGCGUAAAGGGCUCGUAGGCGGCCAACUAAGUCAGACGUGAAAUCCCUCGGCUUAACCGGGGAACUGCGUCUGAUACUGGAUGGCUUGAGUUCGGGAGAGGGAUGCGGAAUUCCAGGUGUAGCGGUGAAAUGCGUAGAUAUCUGGAGGAACACCGGUGGCGAAGGCGGCAUCCUGGACCGAUACUGACGCUGAGGAGCGAAAGCUAGGGGAGCAAACGGG